rnacentral:rRNA from 1 species
UACGAAGGGGGCUAGCGUUGCUCGGAAUCACUGGGCGUAAAGCGCACGUAGGCGGAUUGCUAAGUCAGGGGUGAAAUCCUGGAGCUCAACUCCAGAACUGCCUUUGAUACUGGCGAUCUUGAGUCCGGGAGAGGUGAGUGGAACUGCGAGUGUAGAGGUGAAAAUUCGUAGAUAUUCGCAAGAACACCAGUGGCGAAAGGCGGCUCACUGGCCCGGUACUGACGCUGAGGUGCGAAAAGCGUGGGGAGCAAACGGGG